CGCGCUUCCAGCGGCCUGCGCGCGAGCAGGUGCCAACGGUGCCAACGACACCAACGGUGCCCAAGGAGCCAGAGGGGCUGGCAACCGAAAGGAGAGAGGCCACGUCCUGCUGAGCCGCCGAGGGAUCAGGCUAGCCCGAGGUGGGGCUCGCAGCACUGCCUCUCCAGAGCCCCUGGCCACCAUGGCAGUGGUUUACCGUUGGGCCAGCUGCCAGUCACUGGGCAGCACCUUAGCUGCUGUAUUCACCAUGCUGAGAGAGGCGGCUUACAUCCUGCCCAGAGAAGCAGGACGCCCACAGAGGCAUGCCCACCCUCACUAAGCGGUCUUGGAGGAGGGCUUUCUGAGAGCAGUGAAGACUUCAAAGAGUGGCCUGGAGGCCUGCUGGGCAGAUCCACCUAUCACAGCCAGAGAAUAACCGGAACAGAUUUGCAGCGGAGCAAUGAUUUGUUGCCUGCUGGACCAAGGGAGUCUACACAACACGUAAAACACAGGGGAACAGCGCAGACUCACGCCACUCGCGGUCGGUCAGAGGCCGCUUUGCCUGCUCAAUCGCACGGGAACAACGGACGGGUGCGGACCUGACUCCCUUCGCCUGAGACCGCGCGAGUGCAGGAUGACUGCCACUGUCGUGUGGACCGAAAGCCGGUCCGGACGUCGGCUGGGCUCCACCACCCCGCUCUUCCCGGGAAACGCCGCCGCAUCAACUUGAC
rnacentral:lncRNA from 1 species